rnacentral:rRNA from 1 species
UACGUAGGUGGCAAGCGUUGUCCGGAUUUACUGGGCGUAAAGGGUGCGUAGGUGGAUUUUUAAGUGAGGUGUGAAAUACUCGGGCUCAACCCGAGAACUGCAUUUCAAACUGGAAAUCUAGAGUGCAGGAGAGGAAAGUGGAAUUCCUAGUGUAGCGGUGAAAUGCGUAGAUAUUAGGAAGAACACCAGUGGCGAAGGCGACUUUCUGGACUGUAACUGACACUGAGGCUCGAAAGCGUGGGGAGCAAACAGG